AUCGGCGGACGCCUCCGCUCGCUCCAGGCACUCGCACAGCCAUUGGCAGGAGCGCAUGACAGCCGGUUCCGAUUGGCUCCCUCCACGGGACCAAUAUCCAUGGGAGAUUUGGAGCAUAAUGGACAUCCUGUUCUGCUCCUUCUACUAUACUGGUCUCAGCCAUGGUUAAGCCUUCUCUCCUCUCCUGCUGAUCUCAUUCCAGAAAAAGAACUGAAAGUUAAUGUAACCAUCACAAUCUUCAUUAAAUGCUUGCAGGAGUAAACAUGCAGUGCUCCCUGGGACAGACACCAGGAGAGAUAUCCAGCUCAAGGUGAUUUAGUAUUCUUCGCUUUGAAGAUUAACAGCUGCACAUGCUCUGGAAAGAAGAAAGAGAAGCAACCCUGGAGCCCUCAUGAAAAUUGGAAAAGGGGCAGAACUUCUCCAGAAGAUCUUGCAGGUUUCCUUGUGAGUUAUCUGCUCACAAAGUAAAUGUGGCCAAGGAUUCAUAUCAAGUUGGAAAAACAUUUCAUCUGAUCCAUCUAUGAAGAAUUUAGUAAAGUCAUUUCAUAGCAUCCCUUUCUGUGGUUCAAAACUUGACUGU